ensembl:lncRNA
CAGACGUAAUUAUAACAACAUACAGAAAUACCAGGAUGUUCAAAAGUGGCUCUCAAUGUCGCCACCCUGGAUUCAGUAACUAUCAAAAAUAUCAGUCCACACUAAAAAAGAAAUGGUCGCUUAGACUCCUAAAUAGACAAACACACACAGCUCCAAGUUUAGUCGGCUUUUAACGAACCACACACCGGUGGCUUUGUUCAGAACAACUGCCUUCCUCCGUAAUGUGUUUUGGUUGCUGCUGUUUGGGCCUUUAGAUUACGUGACACUCUGCUGUUGCCACAUUUCUACAGAGGUCAUUGCAAUAACUUGCCCCCCCCCUGUGACUUACAUCUAGCAAAAUACACAAACACAUGUCAGCCCAUUUACACACUGACACACAAAUACAUGGCGUGGACAUACACAGCACAACACACUCACACAAAAUCUCCACUAAAGUAAAGUUGUUGAUCUGAUGCACUCUCUUUUCAGUUAACAGCAAUUAGCGAUGCUCUGUGUGAGUAUUAGCCAUGACCUUUUUUAGUUAAAUUAAACGUUAAGAGGAAAACUAUUCUUGGUAUGUCACUGCGACCUGUCUCACAGCUUUAGCUGAGCAUGAUUAUUUUUUUAACAUUCAGCUGCACAUUCAAGCUCUUACAAUGUACAUGUACUUUCCUCUUUUUUCAUUAAGAAUGUAACAAAGUGGUAAAAAAGUAGGAAUAUGCCUGUCUGGUGAGUGGUGGGCCUGAUGCUGUGGCACGCACACUACAAUUUUGACUGUAAUAUAUAUAUACAUAUAUAUAAAUAUAGUGUCUUAGAUAUAUAUGUUAAAUAUACAUUUGACUACUUUGCUAUUGACUUUGAGGCUUAAGGGGGCUUUUCAAAUAUCCCUCAAUAAAGACUGGACCUUAUAACAAUAGCUUAUUUUUGUAGUAUUUCCAAAAGCAAUAGUAUAGCAGUAAAAACAAGCAAUUAUUAAACUAAUCUUUGAACUGAAAUGUUUAGGGACCAACAUCCGAACCAAGCCAUUUUUUGGACCUUUGGCAGCAGACCUUGCACCAAACAAUGCGAAAUGAAACAACCUACAAGACGACAACAAUCCAUUUCAACUCACUUAUGGUCAGAAGCAAAUUACAUCACCAAUGUGGAGCAUUUUCUUGGCAUAGUCUCUUUUUAAUAUGUCUUCCUUGAUUUUUUUCAGAGGCACAAAUAACAACGAUGUACAAAACAAUUUCUAAGGAAUCAAUCAUCCGAAAGAGAAAAUAAAUAUGCAGGCUAUGGAAAAUUGAGUUGUACUUAACCGUGUCAAAAUGAUGAAAGAAUUGCAGUACAGAAGGCUCACAUUUAGAAAAAUGUUUACAAUUGUUAAAUGUGAACACAAUUACAAAAAUCUAAUUGGCAACAUAAUGAGACUGAUAAUUAAACAUAUUGCAUUAGCGUUUCUUUUUUUUAAUUUCCUUGUCAUAUUGUGUCAAAUGUAUCUCAAAACCUCCAUGAGAAACUAGAGAAGAAGGAAAGUCGAUCCUUCAAUGUGUAAGAAAUAACUGACGGCGCUGGCAGAUAAUAUCACUGCAUAUCAUGAAUUACAAAUAUAUGGUAAUUAAGGGCUUGCUUUUAUCAUUGAGGUGGUGUUGCCCCAUAUGUAUUAAGAAUGAAUGUUUUUGUUAUCUCUUUCCCUAAAACUUUCUUCUCAUAUUUCUUUUCCAUAUGAAUUCACCCUAAACAAGGAAUUUCCAUCUGUUUGAUGUGUUUGCUUUCCUCUCUCCCACUUCCCACUUCUCACAUCUCACUUCCAUAUUAACAGAAACUCCCUCUUGAGUCUACCUAUCUGUGUAGUGAGCAAUUCCUGGGGGAAAGCAUGGCGCUUCAACACCUAGCGCUUUUUAAGUUAAAAAUAGUGCUCCUCCGCAAACGAAAAGGUUAUCCAAUUAAAAGUAAUUGCUUGAGAAGAGGAUUGGAUGCGCUGGUCUUCCAGGAAAAUAAAUAAAUAAAUAAUGACAACAAGUCGCUAACGGCCUGUUAUUGCAUUAUUCAGCGUGAUGUCCCUCAAUCUACAUCCCCCCCAGGUCCUUCUCAGUCUCUCCUUUCUCAUAAUUUACCAUAAAACAUCAAAGGUUUUUAACUCUUAAUUUAGAGUAAGGUGCGAUGACUUGAGACGGGACAGCGAGGAGACUGGCAGACUUCCAAAAGCUCUUCUGCAGAAGACAAAGAAUAUAAAACAAAGCAGAAAAAAAGAGAGCUGACGGUUUUGUUAAAGGUUCAGAGUGAAACACCUGAAGGAACUUAAAUUGCUGGGGUUACUUGUGUAAAACAUCUUCACCACAGUAGUUCCCUUCAUCAUUAGCUGUCCAGUCAAAGACCACGUCUCAGCUCUCCUAAUUCUCUGUGAUCAACGAUUUGCUUCAAUUCAGUGUGCACCUAAACUCAAUAAGAUUUUCUACGCAGGAAUAUGCAGAAAACACACUUAUCAUAUAGAAUACAACUCUCUACGUUCAACACAGUUCUUAUUUAGCACACUCCAGGUUGGUGUCCUCCGAUCAACCCUUUAAAUGGUUAAAUUAGGUAGCUUAGUUUCUGCUAAGAUAAGACAAGAUAAAACAUUAUUCUUCCCGAGGGAAGUUCUUCUGGCAGAGUCUGAUCAAAGUUUACAACAGAAGAACAACAGCAAACAAAAAACAAUACUAAUGGGACUAGCAGCUUCAAAAUGUGACCUAUAUAACUUCAAAAGUACUAAUUGCAGAACUGUUAACUAUGGACCUCAUCAAUAGUCUGGGUGGUUACUACAGUUUUAUGGGUACCAUUUUAUAACAUGGUAUGGGGGAGGGGGGUGGCAUUCAUUCUCAAUGCAAAUAUGUAGCAUCCGUGUUGCUGGGUACCUUAUGAAGGAUGGAGGCCUGUCGGAGGUUAAAAUGAAAGCAUUAGUAACACUUUUUACCUCAGUGGCAGUCGCCAAAAAAAGGCCGCAAAAGACCGGUUUCGGGCAAUGCAAGCUUUCGCAACCGAUGUAGGGCACUUAGCUGAAGAGGACAAUUCAGGUGGACGUCAUGAGCAAAGUGAAUGAAUGAGACGGUGCGAGAUCUAGCAAGGAGACCUGGGAUGUUUUCAGACAAAGCACAAAUCAAUGUCAAUCUAGUUGUAUUUCCGUUAUUCAAACACAGUCAGCAGUUUAACAGCAUUAGCAGCAUGCAUGGUGUUUAUCUGUAUAGAACUUCCUUGUCAUUUUACAUACAACACUCACUUCAUUUUGUAGUUUUACCGACACCCACCGUUUAAAUGAUAAACCACAAAUCACAAGAGCAAUUGUGGGUAUGAUAAACAAGCUGUGAGCUUGCUCUGUACCUGUGGCCAUUGACAUCAAUACAGCCAUUUAAGAAAAGCUGACCUUUAAAAUACAAUUUUUGACAAUUUUCUUUUCUUUCCCUGUUUUAUACACACAGAAUUCAGCGCUCGAAGAGAGCACAGACACAAUAAACCAGUUGCUAUCCAUCAUUUUAGUCCUCGCUGUGCAGCUACCAUACCAUACAAUGAAUUUGAGUGGCAAGAAUCAUUUGCAGGUUAACGACAGAGAAGAGCCACCAGAGAUGUGGAUUCAGCGACGUCCAAAGACAGCUUUCAUUAUAACUAAUGCAAUAUGAGAGUAGGGCAUUGACAUAGCUUCUGAUAUAAAGCAACAAACAAUGAGACAACCUCAAAAAGCCGGGCCCAUCAAGGAUGACAGCCAGCUAGAAUGAGAAAAGAACAGCACAUGGUAGACAGAAGGAGGGAAUACCAAUGUUGUCCUCUAUUCGUUCUUUCCUUCGCAGUCUUGUUGCCAAGAGUGAAACAGGAUUGUUGCCUCCACCUCUGUUUUCCACGAUUAGUCUUACUUUCUCCCUUCUUGUCCUUCUUCCUUCCAUUUAUCUUCCUCCUUUACACCCCAUUUUCAACUCUGUGUUCCGCCUUUUCCUCUAUCUGCCGCACGUCCCCGUUCCUCUCCCCCUUUCCUUCUUAUCUCUAUUUCCAUCCUCAUUUCUUUUGUCCCGAUCACUCACCAGUCCUGUUUCCUUACUCCGCCUUCUGCUCCAUUUCCAUCUCUUCCGUCACUCUGUCAAUCAUCUCUCUUAUAUGUCUCCACAUUUACUCCAAACUGUUUCUUGCCCCUCCCUGUGUAGCCUGUUGCAUUAUUCAGUCGGGCAUCUUUCACUUUUGGUCUUCCGUCUACCAGUUUGAGAUUACACUAGAAGGGCCACGGGAAAGUGAAUGAACAGUCAAAGUCUGUCAUUUAUCCUGAUUUGCUGUCAAACACCUGAGUGAAGCCUAGAGGAUGACGGAGUGGGGUUGAUGGGGUGGGGAAGAGCAAAGGGAAGGAAAGGAGAGAGAUGCAGAGGGUCAGGGAGUCAGAGGACAAUUUGUGUAGUUCUCGCUCUCUCCAACAGACACCUUUCCUCUGGCUUGUCUGCAACCUAAACAGCACGAGACACACGUAGCAGCAUGGCAACAGCUUGAAUCCCAGGCAGAAGAAACAACAGGCAAGCGGGUCUCGUGGAGAAAUCCGCUUGUUGGAACGUCAAGCCGACAGAAACCAGGGGAAGGAGGGGCUAAUCUCGUGGUCGGGGACAGAACACCGGGGCGAUUUACCACAGCAGAUGCAAGGCAGGAGUCUCAUGGUCGGGGACGGAAGGCUGAGGACUCCAAACGGACGGGGUCAGCAACAGGAAAUCAGUCGGAGGGUAAACGCGAGGGGGAAAGUCUGUCGAAAAGAAUGAAUGAGUGAGUGUGGAUGAAAUACCGAGGUGAGCAGGUGCAGCGGAGUGGGCACCUGAGAGUGAUUGAGCCGACGAGGAGGGUGUGGCUGACUGCAUGAGCCAAUUAGAUGAGCGAGGCAAACGCAAACACACAACAAACACACGGGCGCACAAGCGCACCAGCGACACUUUGGGGCCCGUGGCCAGUGGCAGCCUCAGUGGUCCCGCCAACGCCAAGAGGAGCUUAACUCUCAGCACUCGCUUGGACAGCGCUCACUCAAAAGCUUACAGGGCAAGUGCAUGUUUGUGUGUCUGUGUGUGAAAGACCAAACCAUUAUUGUAUAAGCUGCUGCAACAGGCCUGUGCAGGGGAAAAAAACUGUGUUGUGCCUCGUCUGUAAGGCUUCUGCCCGAUGUGAAAUUAAAUGUUGGAUGCUAGCAUGUAAGCACUGAGCAAUCAUUUUUACUGUUUCAGAUUAAUGAUACAUUUAUUCAUCUAUUUCUUUUUUUAAAGUAACAACAAAUAGCUUGUUCCAGGUUCACAUGGGUUGUUGUUACAGCAACAGUCCAGUAGCAUAGGUUUGGAUUCAUAGUCGACACUGGUUGGUAUCCCCACAACAGCUUUUCUGCUUAUCUAUUUCACCGAAGACGAAAGCAUUACUGAUCACUAAGGCAGAAAUGCCUUCUACCACAAAAGCCAAUUCAAAAGAUACUUGUAAUUAGUUAUUUGUCGUUUUAGAAUUAUUUCUAUUAAUAGAGGUGGAGUUUUUUUUUGCAUACACGCACAUCAUAUAUAAAUACAGUAUAAGCUUAUUCAUGCACAGUGUAAAAAUGUGUUUUUGAUGUUUGCUUUUACUGUUCACCUCGUCUUCAACAAUUCAAUUACUCAAAACACAUUCCUCUCUCACCAAAGCAACAGUUGCACAAAUAUACAUAAGAUUUCCUGCCGAUUUCUUUUGCCGAUACGGUGCACACACAAGAUUGUCUCGUCUCAAAUCUUCAAAUCUCUACUUUUUGAUACAUGAGCACUAAUAUGUCACCUACUAGUCGAUUGUCCUGCAGCUAAUUAAUGGUCCGUAAAGCAAUAACUUCUCAGUCUGAGCGUUCACUAGAUCCCCACACAGUAAUUUGCAUUAGCAAACAUCAAUAGUGUGGCGCAGAUGGUUAAACAGAUGAAGAGUAAUAUUAACACCAGAAAGGUAAACAACGGCUCACAGUUGAAUCAACCAAAUGUCAAGGACCAGAAUACUGAUUAUAAAUUCAAUAUACAAAACCCUGAGCCGAACACUAUCUCUUCCCCCUUUCCCAACUAUUUAAUGAUAUAACCAUACAAGGCCUCACAGUAAAUGUGUUUAUUACUCAUUCUUUAAGAAAAUUGUUGUUAAAUUACUUACAAUUUAACAUUAAAAUAGAAAUGAUAAGGAGGACUUGAACCUAGCAUUUCAUUUUACGUUAAUUGUGAGAGAAUUAUAG